rnacentral:ncRNA from 1 species
GGCCAAGUUUUUAAGGGCGCACGGUGGAUGCCUUGGCACCAGGAACCGAUGAAGGACGUGGGAGGCCGCGAUAGGCCCCGGGGAGCUGUCAACCGAGCUUUGAUCCGGGGGUGUCCGAAUGGGGAAACCCGGCAGUCGUCAUGGGCUGUCACCCGCUGCUGAACACAUAGGCAGUGUGGAGGGAACGCGGGGAAGUGAAACAUCUCAGUACCCGCAGGAAGAGAAAACAACCGUGAUUCCGGGAGUAGUGGCGAGCGAAACUGGAUGAGGCCAAACCGUAUGUGUGUGAUACCCGGCAGGGGUUGCGCAUGCGGGGUUGUGGGAUCUCUCUUUUAUGGUCUGCCGGCCAUGAGACGAGUCAGAAACCGUUGAUGUAGGCGAAGGACAUGCGAAAGGUCCGGCGUAGAGGGUAAGACCCCCGUAGCUGAAACAUUAGCGGCUCGUUUGAGAGACACCCAAGUAGCACGGGGCCCGAGAAAUCCCGUGUGAAUCUGGCGGGACCACCCGCUAAGCCUAAAUAUUCCCUGGUGACCGAUAGCGGAUAGUACCGUGAGGGAAUGGUGAAAAGUACCGCGGGAGCGGAGUGAAAUAGUACCUGAAACCGUGUGCCUACAAGCCGUGGGAGCGUCG